ensembl:snRNA U1 U1 spliceosomal RNA
ACACUUACCUGGCAUGAGGGAUUCCAUGAUCAUGAAGGUGCUUUCCUCACAGAGAGGCUUAUCCAUUGCACUCAGGUUGGGAUGACACCUAUGAUUUCCCCCAAAUACAAGAAACUCAACUGCAUAAUUUGUGGUAGCAGGGGACUGCAUUCACAUUCUCCUC